GAUCAAUGAUGAAAAAUAGCCAAAUCUGAGAGCUCUGGCAGCGUCCGCCUCGGCCUCUGAUUACGCUUGAGA
ensembl:snoRNA